GGCGUUAAGUUGCAGGGUAUAGACCCGAAACCCGGUGAUCUAGCCAUGGGCAGGUUGAAGGUUGGGUAACACUAACUGGAGGACCGAACCGACUAAUGUUGAAAAAUUAGCGGAUGACCUGUGGCUGGGGGUGAAAGGCCAAUCAAACCGGGAGAUAGCUGGUUCUCCCCGAAAGCUAUUUAGGUAGCGCCUCGUGAAUUCAUCUCCGGGGGUAGAGCACUGUUUCGGCUAGGGGGCCAUCCCGGCUUACCAACCCGAUGCAAACUGCGAAUACCGGAGAAUGUUAUCACGGGAGACACACGGCGGGUGCUAACGUCCGUCGUGAAGAGGGAAACAACCCAGACCGCCAGCUAAGGUCCCAAAGUCAUGGUUAAGUGGGAAACGAUGUGGGAAGGCCCAGACAGCCAGGAUGUUGGCUUAGAAGCAGCCAUCAUUUAAAGAAAGCGUAAUAGCUCACUGGUCGAGUCGGCCUGCGCGGAAGAUGUAACGGGGCUAAACCAUGCACCGAAGCUGCGGCAGCGACGCUGAUGCGUUGUUGGGUAGGGGAGCGUUCUGUAAGCCUGCGAAGGUGUGUCGUGAGGCAUGCUGGAGGUAUCAGAAGUGCGAAUGCUGACAUAAGUAACGAUAAAGCGGGUGAAAAGCCCGCUCGCCGGAAGACCAAGGGUUCCUGUCCAACGUUAAUCGGGGCAGGGUGAGUCGACCCCUAAGGCGAGGCCGAAAGGCGUAGUCGAUGGGAAACGGGUUAAUAUUCCCGUACUUGGUGUUACUGCGAAGGGGGGACGGAGAAGGCUAUGUUGGCCGGGCGACGGUUGUCCCGGUUUAAGCGUGUAGGUGUGUGUUCCAGGUAAAUCCGGUUCACUUUAACACUGAGGCGUGAUGACGAGGCACUACGGUGCUGAAGCAACAAAUGCCCUGCUUCCAGGAAAAGCCUCUAAGCAUCAGGUAACAUCAAAUCGUACCCCAAACCGACACAGGUGGUCAGGUAGAGAAUACCAAGGCGCUUGAGAGAACUCGGGUGAAGGAACUAGGCAAAAUGGUGCCGUAACUUCGGGAGAAGGCACGCUGACACGUAGGUGAAGUGAUUUACUCAUGGAGCUGAAGUCAGUCGAAGAUACCAGCUGGCUGCAACUGUUUAUUAAAAACACAGCACUGUGCAAACACGAAAGUGGACGUAUACGGUGUGACGCCUGCCCGGUGCCGGAAGGUUAAUUGAUGGGGUCAGCGCAAGCGAAGCUCCUGAUCGAAGCCCCGGUAAACGGCGGCCGUAACUAUAACGGUCCUAAGGUAGCGAAAUUCCUUGUCGGGUAAGUUCCGACCUGCACGAAUGGCGUAAUGAUGGCCAGGCUGUCUCCACCCGAGACUCAGUGAAAUUGAACUCGCUGUGAAGAUGCAGUGUACCCGCGGCAAGACGGAAAGACCCCGUGAACCUUUACUAUAGCUUGACACUGAACAUUGAGCCUUGAUGUGUAGGAUAGGUGGGAGGCUUUGAAGUGUGGACGCCAGUCUGCAUGGAGCCGGCCUUGAAAUACCACCCUUUAAUGUUUGAUGUUCUAACGUGGACCCGUGAUCCGGGUUGCGGACAGUGUCUGGUGGGUAGUUUGACUGGGGCGGUCUCCUCCUAAAGAGUAACGGAGGAGCACGAAGGUUGGCUAAUCCUGGUCGGACAUCAGGAGGUUAGUGCAAUGGCAUAAGCCAGCUUGACUGCGAGCGUGACGGCGCGAGCAGGUGCGAAAGCAGGUCAUAGUGAUCCGGUGGUUCUGAAUGGAAGGGCCAUCGCUCAACGGAUAAAAGGUACUCCGGGGAUAACAGGCUGAUACCGCCCAAGAGUUCAUAUCGACGGCGGUGUUUGGCACCUCGAUGUCGGCUCAUCACAUCCUGGGGCUGAAGUAGGUCCCAAGGGUAUGGCUGUUCGCCAUUUAAAGUGGUACGCGAGCUGGGUUUAGAACGUCGUGAGACAGUUCGGUCCCUAUCUGCCGUGGGCGCUGGAGAACUGAGGGGGGCUGCUCCUAGUACGAGAGGACCGGAGUGGACGCAUCACUGGUGUUCGGGUUGUCAUGCCAAUGGCACUGCCCGGUAGCUAAAUGCGGAAGAGAUAAGUGCUGAAAGCAUCUAAGCACGAAACUUGCCCCGAGAUGAGUUCUCCCUGAGACUUAGAGUCUCCUGAAGGAACGUUGAAGACGACGACGUUGAUAGGCCGGGUGUGUAAGCGCAGCGAUGCGUUGAGCUAACCGGUACUAAUGAACCGUGAGGCUUAACCUUACAACGCCGAA
rnacentral:rRNA from 1 species